AACGAACGCUGGCGGCAUGCCUAACACAUGCAAGUCGAACGAAGCCUUCGGGCUUAGUGGCGCACGGGUGCGUAACGCGUGGGAAUCUGCCCCUUGCUUCGGAAUAACAGUUAGAAAUGACUGCUAAUACCGGAUGAAGUCUUCGAACCAAAGAUUUAUCGGCAAGGGAUGAGCCCGCGUAGGAUUAGGUAGUUGGUGGGGUAAAGGCCUACCAAGCCGACGAUCCUUAGCUGGUCUGAGAGGAUGAUCAGCCACACUGGGACUGAGACACGGCCCAGACUCCUACGGGAGGCAGCAGUGGGGAAUAUUGGACAAUGGACGCAAGUCUGAUCCAGCAAUGCCGCGUGAGUGAUGAAGGCCUUAGGGUUGUAAAGCUCUUUUACCAGGGAUGAUAAUGACAGUACCUGGAGAAUAAGCUCCGGCUAACUCCGUG
rnacentral:rRNA from 1 species